UACGUAGGGGGCAAGCGUUAUCCGGAUUUACUGGGUGUAAAGGGAGCGUAGGCGGCUCGAUAAGUCUGAUGUGAAAGCCCGGGGCUCAACCCCGGGACUGCAUUGGAAACUAUCGAGCUAGAGUGUGGGAGAGGUAAGUGGAAUUCCUAGUGUAGCGGUGAAAUGCGUAGAUAUUAGGAGGAACACCAGUGGCGAAGGCGGCUUACUGGACCAUAACUGACGCCGAGGCUCGAAAGCGUGGGGAGCAAACAGG
rnacentral:rRNA from 1 species